rnacentral:misc_RNA from 1 species
AAAGCGCGAUAGGUAAUGCGAAUUGCAGAAUUCAGUGAAUCAUCAAAUCUUUGAACGCAUCUUGCACUCUUUGGUAUCCCGAAGAGUACACCUCUUUGAGUGUCGGUUCUACCACAAUCUAGCUUCGUGCUGAAAAUGAUACUGGUCUCAGUUGCUCUGAGUCUAUCUAAAUUCAUAAACACUAUGAAUUCACACCGGGGUCUUCUGGUUUUCAGAACCGGUUCCUAUGCUGAUAAUUGACUUCGGUCACUAUUUUCUGCAUUGGUAAUCGUUCUGCCACUCGACCAUUCAACCGAUCGUAAUUUCUAAUUGUGUCUGUCGGUUCAAGGAUUGAACACACCUUGAAAAACAAAUCUUUUUGUUUUUUCUUGAUCUUGACCUCAAAUGAAGUGAGAGAACC